rnacentral:rRNA from 1 species
GAUGAACGCUGGCGGCGUGCCUAAUACAUGCAAGUCGAGCGAACAGACGAGGAGCUUUCUCCUCUGGCGUUAGCAGCGGAUGGGUGAGUAAUACGUAGAUAACCUGCCUAUAAGACUGGGAUAACUUCGGGAAACCGGAGCUAAUACCGGAUAAUAUAUUGAACCGCAUGGUUCAAUAGUGAAAGACGGUUUUGCUGUCACGUAUAGAUGGAUCCGCGCCGCAUUAGCUAGUUGGUAAGGUAACGGCUUACCAAGGCGACGAUGCGUAGCCGACCUGAGAGGAUGAUCGGCCACACUGGAACUGAGACACGGUCCAGACUCCUACGGGAGGCAGCAGUAGGGAAUCUUCCGCAAUGGGCGAAAGCCUGACGGAGCAACGCCGCGUGAGUGAUGAAGGUCUUCGGAUCGUAAAACUCUGUUAUUAGGGAAGAACAAAUGUGUAAGUAACUAUGCACGUCUUGACGGUACCUAAUCAGAAAGCCACGGCUAACUACGUG